GCCAUCAUACAUGUCUUGAGGAACUUGUCUUUGGAUGAUGCUGAGCAGGUCUUUCUUUCUGGUAAAGAUUUUUACAGUGAAGUAGAAGAAUUUAACAGAUGACAGAUUGACAAGAAACUGACAAAAGAAGGGAGACCAUUUAAUAGGUGGGUAUUGCUCUUAUGUACUUAAAAAUAUGGAGUUGGGAGUAAGGUGUCCUGUUUGGUUCUCCCAACAGUGCAUAAACUUAAGCCAGAAAUAUAUAUAUAUAUAUAUAUAUAUAUAUAUAUAUAUUAUAUUAUAUAUAGGUAUAUAUAUAUAUAGCUAACACUGUAAAGCAAAUGUUUGUUACUAUACCUCUUAAAUAUUAAUCUAAAUUUAAUUGCAUAACAAUCGGUUAACCUUUUGAGUUCAUAUACAUGAUUUUACAUAUUCUAGAAUAUAUAUAUAUAUAUAUAUAUAUAUAUAUAUAUAUAUAUAUAUAUAUAUAUAUUCUUUUCGGCUUAGUCCCUUUAUUUAUCAGGGGUUGCCACAGCGGAAUGAACCGCCAACUUAUCCAGCAUAUGUUUUACACAGUGGAUGCCCUUCCAGUCACAACCCAGUACUGGGAAACACCCAUUUACACUCAUACACCAGAACACGGGGAGAACAUGCAAACUCCACACAAAAAUUACCACUGGCCCAGCCGAGGCUUGAACCAGCAACCUUCUUGGUGUGAGGCGACGGUGCUAACCUAUGUGCUCUAUGCGGGUGAGUGGGCUUGACAAACCACCUGGAGGACACACUCUUGCUGUCUUAAUGCACCAGACAUUUUGUUAUAAAUAAUCAUGUGCGUUUCAUGUUUAAUAAUAAAACUGCUAUUUUAUCUCAUAGUACUUAAUUUUUGUCUUGAUAUUUAAAAUCUCUUGUUUAAAUACACUAUGAACAGCAGCUGCGCUAAUUAUUUUAUUUGUUCCUUAUUUCCACCAGGGAUAUUC
rnacentral:lncRNA from 1 species